CUUUUCUGCUCCUCCAGUCAAUUUUGUGGAGGUGGGGGGGGGGGGUCGAAUCGAAGGGCAGCAUCAGGGGAACGGACAAAGAUGUUACCCUAGAGAGAAAAAAGAUCUUUGCUGGCUUGAAAAGCACAAAAAGCAGUUAUCGUAGGAAGUCAACGCAUCCCCAGUUCAAGCAGGGAUAGAUCAAUUAUUCCCGAUAAGAGGAAGCUCAUUUUCAGUAUUCAGAGUGACUGGUUGGUUUUUUGUUCGCUCUGCCCCUCAAUCGGCUUUGAGUCGGAUGAAAAUGUUGCAGAUGUGCCUCAUCUGUAUUUAAAAGGCGGCGUAUCAUCAACCAACAACUGAGUCGCGGCUGGGUAUUGGUUCACACCCGGGCGGGACACCCCAUCACAAAGCCGACGGGACUCAGUGCAAUCAAGCAAUCGGCCAGACGCUGAGCACAGCGGCCUCUCGUCAUUGACAGUUCUUCUGGUUUUCCUACUCAAAAGCAAACAACAUACAACACAGUGCUCCGUUGUUUCCACGGAGAUGCUACAAUUAUUAUUCGUAUGAUUAUUAUUUGUUUGCCUAGCUGCAUGUUCCCUUUCUCUGCAGUACGUUGGGACAAGUGGCAAAGAGGCAGCAUGUUAGCUGCUGUGUGAUUGAGUGAGUGACCUUCAAGUCACAAUAAAGCCCAUUAUGUCAUCUUUACGGGAGAUUGUCGCCAUCAUUUCAUACAUUUGCAUCGGAC
ensembl:lncRNA